CAUUCCUUGUUGGCAUUAGUAGUUUUUAAUCGAGUUUUUGAGGACAUUCUGGAUGUUGGUUUAUAUUGCUGAUUUGGAGGAGCAGUGUCUGUGAUUUUGGUCUGAUCAUUUGUGCAAUUUGUUGACUCAUUUGAGGACUUAUUUGUUUCCUGGGUUUGUUUAUUGACUUCGGUGGACUGGGUUCCCACCUACGGUUCCUCUACUUGCUCUAUUCAUUGGAAUUCCAGUCGCCUGUUGCUCUUCUUUAGAGGUUUAGAAUCUUUCUUGUGACUAGAUUAACACUUGGGGUUAUUGCUUUACUACUGAUCUGCUUUGCUAUAGCAAUCUCAUUGAUUUUGAAUUGCGAUUUGCACCAAUGGUAAGGGUGCGAGUACUUGUUAACUCUAUUUGGUUAGAGAUCUGAUUGACCGCCAAGGGCUUGCGACUGCGCUGCUAUUACUAAAGUUCUGAACUGAUAUUGCUGGAUUUAGCACAUUAUUGGAGACGUUGUUGAGAUUUUGGGUGGACAGAGCUUUGCAUUUGCUGGUUGACUUGAUGUCUCACCACAUCGGUGCCCCUCCGCUGUUCCCGCCGACCCCUUAGCCACUCGAGAGGGAAGUUUCGUUGUCCUUUUCACUUUAAUUGUUUUAUUUCCUCCAUUGAGGACAAUGUAGGAUCUAGGUGUGGGGGGGCAGCUGCGCUAGUUUUUCUGUUUUUUAGUUUUUUUAGAUGUUUUUGCUUUCUUUUUAAUUUGCUAUUUGUCCACCUCUCGUUCAAUUUCUUUCUUUCUUUCUAGUGACUGGCUCGUAAGUGCAUGCCAAGGUUUGAUGUUGGAUUAUUGCCUCUAUUUCUACUUUUGCCAAGUUUUUAUAAUAAAAAUGUAUCGAGUUAAUGUGGCUGAAUCCAAAAACAUCUCUUUGGUGAAUAUCGAUGAUUGUUUCACUCUUAUAAUUUUUGGUUAACUUUCCUAGGCAUAGGGAAUGAUUAUUGGCAUUUUUAUGUGAAUUGGUUCGGUUAUUAACUUUAGUUCUCCAUGUUUGAAAAUGAGUCUAGCUGAUGCAAGUUUUCUUUUGGUUCUUGUGUUAUAUUGAGUUUUUGUGAUUUUUAGCUAUGAAUAAACUUGACUGUACUCCGCUAGUCUUUACUACUGAGUAACCGGGGAUCUGCACCUAAAAGUGUUGAUUCUCGCAUCAAAAGGUAGUAAUUCCUAUGAGUACGUGGUCACGUGGCGAUAGAAGCUGAGUAACCGGGAUCCUUCAUCUGGCCAAUGUUGGAGUUCGCGUCAAAAGGCUCUAAUGGCUAGCGACUAAGUCUUUUGUUACUAUUGAGAAAAGAAAAAAAAAA
rnacentral:lncRNA from 1 species